CAUGCAGUGGCGAUUACACAACACUGGCUCUGGAGUCUGAAUUCGGGUUUAAAGAUCACAGGCUUGGAGAGUCCUGGGGGUGUGACCUUUAUGAUAAGAUGACAGGUUUCGACAUAGGAAACCUGAGUGGCGGCUGGAAGAGAGUAAGGAAUCUGAACAGAGGCGGGCUGGGGAGCUGUCUCCGCUGGUAAAGAGUUGCCAUGCUAGCCUGAGUUCCAGGUCAACCAGGGCUACCUGGCAUGACUCUGUCUCAAGGAUAAAGUAGGGGCCUGGGGAGAUGGCUCAAUGGUUGAAGAAUUGCCAAGCAAGUGUGAGGACUGGAGUUUAGAGCCCCAGACUUCCUGCAAAUGCUGAGUGUGACAGCCCAACUCCGACUCAGUAGGUGGAGAAGGGAUCCACAGAGCAAGCUGGCUGAAAAGAUUAGGGUUUGAUUAAAAGACCCUGCCUCAGUGAAGAAGGCGGAAGAGCAAUACUGGAAUCCACAUGAUUUGCUACAUGAGGAGAUUUCAAGCUGCCUAUUAAAAUCACAAGCUGGGUCAGGCACGGUGGCGCCUACCUUUUAUGCCAGCACUCGGAGUCAGAGGCAGGUGGAUCUCUGUGAGUUCCUCACCACCCUGAUCUACAUGAGAUGGAACCCACUAAGCUCCUCCAACCCCUGGGGGAAAUCCUCCUUACAUCUGGGGGACCACCAAGGUCCUACUUCAAUUUAGUGUGGAGUGCCAGCAGGGCAUGGAGGUUUGUCACAGCUCCUUUGGGGGCGUCAGAUGCAGAGCUGAGAUGGAAACCACAGUCCCAAGGAGCAACUACAGGCCACAUGCGCAUGCCCACAGAAACCAGAAGUCACAGGAUCAGCUGUAAUUGGAGUUACAGAUGGUUAUGAACCACAAUGUGGGUGCUGAGAAUCGAAUCAAGCCCUCUGGAAGAGCAACUGGGGUUCCUAACCACUGAGCCAUUUCUCCAGCCGCCAUCCUUGAACUAGCAGCUAUGCAGCUGACUGGACUGGACUGACCCUGGACUGAUUCUCCUGCCUUUAUCUUCCAAACGUGAGGAUUACAGGUGUGAACCAUUA